GUGAUUACCCCAUUGGUUGUUCUUCCUACAGUUUGGCUUCGUGACCUUCGUAUUCUUAGUUAAAUUUCAGCUUCGGAGUUUGUAGCUCACUCUAUGUUGGAGGUGCUGUUAUGGGAUACGUAAUGUUUGGAGAAGAUACUCUCAAUUCACUCUUAACCUGCCCCAAGAUUUGGAUGCAACCAAGAUUGUUGCCUGGACUACGGUGGUUUAUCCAUUUACCAAAUAUCCUUUAUACAUGUCGUGUGAAUAUAUAUAU